UGGCGGACGGGUGAGUAACACGUAGGUGAUCUGCCCUGAAGUGGGGGAUAACGACUCGAAAGAGUCGCUAAUACCGCAUGUGACCACCGAUCCGUUUUCGGUGCUCAAAGUCGUAAGACGCUUUAGGAGGAGCCUGCGGCGGAUUAGCUAGUUGGUGAGGUAAUGGCCCACCAAGGCUUCGAUCCGUAGCUGGUCUGAGAGGAUGGCCAGCCAGACUGGGACUGAGACACGGCCCAGACUCCUACGGGAGGCAGCAGUUAGGAAUUUUGCGCAAUGGGGGAAACUCUGACGCAGCCACGCCGCGUGCGGGAUGAAGGCCUUCGGGUCGUAAACCGCCUUUCUCGAGGAAGACACCCGACGGUACUCGAGGCAUAAGCAACGGCUAACUACGUGCCAGCAGCCGCGGUAAU
rnacentral:rRNA from 1 species